rfam:Cricetulus griseus cell line CHO-K1, whole genome shotgun sequence.
CAAAAUAGCCAUACCACCCUGAAUGAGCCCAAUCUCAUUUGAUCUUGGAAGCUAAGCAGGGUCGGGCCUGGUUAGUAUUUGGACAGGAGACUUAAAAAACACACAGAGCCUUUAUUC